GUUUUUCAUCGACAUUGGUCGGUUGUGUGUCGUUCGUUUUAAUUUGUUUCUUCUACGGUUUUCAUUUUGUACGUUUUCUUAUUUAUUGUUUUAUUUCCAUAAUUAAUUAAUAAUCAAGAGAAAAUUUCAAACCAAAAAAAUUUACAAAUUUAAUUAAAUACAAAAAUAGUGCUAAAUUAAUACAUAAUAUAAAGAGAAAUCAAAUGUGACAAGUGUUGAAAAAAAUAGUUAAGAAGUAUUAGUAGUUUAUGAGUGGUUUUAAAAUAAAGUAUAUUGUAUAUUAAUUACAAAAUUUCUUUGGAUGAUUCAAAAACUAUAUGAAUAGAAGAAAAAAUAAAAAAAAAUAAAACCUCGGUGAAAACAAUCAGUUGAUCGCAUUCAGCUACUAAUACCAUAACAACAACAGCAAAAAUAGUAACAUCAAGGUAAAUUUUAACCAACGAGAGGGAGCAAAGCAACCAACCAACAACCAACCAUACCAACAACAAUAUUUAGAAACAGCAACAACAACAACUCACGUCAUUUCACAAACACACACUUACAAUGUGGAGCCCAACACAUAUUAAAGUGACAAUAAAUUCCGCCCGUAAUCUAAUAUGCAAGGGCAAAAAUAACACAAACAAUUGUUUUGUGACCAUCGGUCUGGGUAAAGAGAAAUAUCAGACAUCGGUUAAGGAAAAAGCCGAAUCAAAAGUUGAAUGGAAGGAAGAAUGUGAACUUAAAAUUCCUGAUCAAGGCAAUCGUGCUGAACUUGUCCUAACCUGUUUGCAUCGCAACAACUUGAGUAUAGAUGAAUUUCUUGGCCAAGUUACUUUGCCCCUUAAUGACAUGGACGUCUAUGAACGUCCAAAGUCGAAAUGGUUUAAACUGGAGAGUAAACCGGGCAAAGAUAAAAAGAAUAAAGAACGUGGUGAACUGGAGGUUGAGAUAUCGUUCACCGUCAAAUCUGGUUCAUUGACCGAUUUGAGUAAAAAAGAGAAACACAAGUCUUCCAUUGGACAGUUGGCUUCAUCGGUGGGUGGCAGUUUAUUGUCGAUCAGUACGAUUGAAAAGCGUAAGGGUAUUAAGAAGAUUGCCAAAAAGUUUGGUUCCAAACUGCAUCUCAGCGGCAGUGGUAAGAAAAAGAACAAAGAUGAAGAUGACAUGUCGUAUAAUGGUUCGUUUGCCAGCAUUGGCACACCGAAUCGUGUGCGCGUUCCCGACAGCGACGAUGAAGAUGAAUUUCAAUUCGAUAAGCUGUCGCAAAAGAGUUCGGUUAGUUCUCUGAAUAUACGUGAUGGCUUGCAGCCGCCUUCCCAAAACUUUACGCCAAGAAAUCCCUCGCCCUUGAUGGGUUCAACCGGUAAAGGUCAAAUAGGUAAGGACCAUCACUUCAGAUAUGAUGGAUCAGACAACCUCAGUGUGGAUCCGGAAUUGGAAGAAAUUGAAAAUGAAUUUAGCAUAAGAGCGCGUACUCUACCACCUCCUACUAAACCUCCACGCACACCUCAAAUGGAUGGAGGAGAAAUGAAAACAAAUGGCAAGGAUAAACACAACACUGAAUUGGAUGAAUGGGAAUCGAAAUUGUAUGGACGCUCUGAGUCUGCUAAUGCGGACUCGUUAAAGCGGAGAUCUUGGGAGCCUGUGGCGGUGCCAUUGAAAACUUCGAACUAUGAAGAAGUCACGGAAAAGGAGGUAGCCCUAAUAGAACCAGAACCCAUGACCAAAUCUCAAUUACCCACUCUACAAGAAUCACAAACUCCCGAAACUUUCACUGACAGUUCAAGCAGCAGUGAUGAAGAAGUUGAGGCAGAAAAACCAAAACAAGUUGUGGCUCCUUUAAGACAACCAAGUGAAGAAAAGCCCAAGGACACAGUAAAUUCCCCAGCAAAACCUAACGAUCUCAAACUGUUGGCCCCCAAUGACAGUAAUGAGAUUGUUAAAAAGGAUUCCCUACUUUCGCCAGAUGUUGAUAAAAAUGAAUUUGCUAAAUUUAAUGCUUCUUUUGCUAAAUUUGAACAGAAAAACAGUUCCAAGUUCUUUGAUAUUGGCGAUGAAACAAAUAAUUUCCUAAAACGUGAAUCUCAGUCGUCUGGUGUUCAACAGCAGCCUCAGCCACUACCCAAACCAAGAGCAAGAGUUGUGCCCCCUGUGGAACAACAACAAGAUAAUGUAAAAGCUUUGGAAGAGGAACAACGUAAACGUGAGGCCGAAGAUGCUCGUUUAGAAGCUGAACUACAGGCAAAUGAAAAACGACUCAGAGAAGAGGAGGAAGCUCUACAGCAAGAAUUACGCCACAAAGAAGAAGAAGAAAAGAGACGAGAAGCCAAACGUCGUGAAGAAGAUUUUCGAAUUUUAAAUUUCUCCAAACGUCUAGUGUCACAAGAAGAUAAACCAGAGGAAAAGCAAGAAGAAAAAAUCAUUGAACCCCUGGUUAAUAACAAAGAACAAUACAAAGAGGAGAAGAAACUUGAAAUCAAUAACAAAAAAGAACGGCAAUUUAACAUAAACAGAGAAAAACAAGCUGUAAGUAAAGCGUCUACGCCUAGUCCCAAGCAAAAUGAACGCAUCAUCAUUGGCCAUGAGAAAGCCAAUACACAAGCGGAAAGACGUGCCGAAAUAUCAGCAGCUUUAGCCAAAAAAUAUGAAGGCAAAUCAAGAGAGGAACUAAUGCUUAUUGCCAAUGGCAUGGAAAACGAAGCCUUAAUACAAAGACAACGUGUCAAAGAACUUGAAGAUUAUUUAGACAAUUUAUUAUUAAGAGUUAUGGAAACACAUCCCAAAAUCUUACAGAAUCCCUACUCACGAACAACUUCAGCUAAGAGCGAAAAAGAAAGAAAAGCAUUAACGAAAUUUUUAAUUUAGUUUUAAAAAUUACAUCAAUAUGAACGAUUUUUUGUAAGAAUGCUAAAAAUAAAAAAAGAAAAACAAACGAACGAUGCACGUUAAAAUCAAAAAAAAACCUACAUACUACCCUACUACUACUACUAUGCAUGAACUCUAGGAAUUUAUGAAGAUCACUGAAAAAAUGAAAGGCACAACGGUUAAACCUAUAAGUUUCUUCAAAAAACCAAUUUAUCAAUCAUCACAAAUGGGGAGUUCCAAGUAAAAUUCAUCACCAUAUUGCCUUCAAAGUGCAAAAUUAAAGUGCUUUUAUUGUAUUUUGUUGAAAUCUAUGAUAUUUUUUUUAUUUAAAUUAACAUUUUUAAACUAAUUAACUAAACUACUACUACUAUUUACUAUUAUUAUAACUAUUUCAUAUUACUAUUACUAUAUACAAAUAUAAAACAUUUUAUAAACAAUUUUAGGGCAAUAUUAUUUAAACUUUUGUAACAAAAACCAAUUUCCUAUUAAUUCCAAAACUUUUCUUGUUAUUUAUAAAAUUUUAUAUUUCAGUUACUGUCCUUUUUCUCUACUAACUUUUAUGUAAUAACAAAAAUUAUUGUCUUUGUUAAUUGAUUGAUUGAUUUAUCUCUAUAAAUAAAGGCAAACCAGAUUUUUUCAUUAGUUUUUAAGUUAUAGUUUAAUAUUAAUAAUAAACAUAUAUUUAUUUUAUAAAACAACAUACUAACACAAGGAAUUAUAAGUAACCAACAAAUUCUGUUACAAAAAUUUUCAAAUUUAACAGCAUUUGUUGCAGUUCUUGUUUUAGUAUUUCUAGCUGAGAAAUUUUAUAUAAAAAAAACCAAGUAUUUUAUUGAUUCACUUUGUAUUAUUGUUAUUUGUUUUUACUGAUGAUUAUCUGUGUGUCUAAAUUUAUUAAUAUGUACGUAUUUUAUUUUACUUUUGUAUUUGUAUUAUUUUAUAAUUUAAACAAAAAAAACUGUUAACUUUAAAACUAAAUAAAUAAAAAUAAAAUCAAAAUUUAUAUUUAAUAUUAAACUAAA